rnacentral:rRNA from 1 species
GAUGAACGCUGGCGGCGUGCCUAAUACAUGCGAGUCGAGCGAACGGACGAGAAGCUUGCUUCUCUGAUGUUAGCGGCGGACGGGUGAGUAACACGUGGAUAACCUACCUAUAAGACUGGGAUAACUUCGGGAAACCGGAGCUAAUACCGGAUAAUAUUUUGAACCGCAUGGUUCAAAAGUGAAAGACGGUCUUGCUGUCACUUAUAGAUGGAUCCGCGCUGCAUUAGCUAGUUGGUAAGGUAACGGCUUACCAAGGCAACGAUGCAUAGCCGACCUGAGAGGGUGAUCGGCCACACUGGAACUGAGACACGGUCCAGACUCCUACGGGGGGCAGCAGUAGGGAAUCUUCCGCAAUGGGCGAAAGCCUGACGGAGCAACGCCGCGUGAGUGAUGAAGGUCUUCGGAUCGUAAAACUCUGUUAUUAGGGAAGAACAUAUGUGUAAGUAACUGUGCACAUCUUGACGGUACCUAAUCAGAAAGCCACGGCUAACUACGUG